UCAGACACUAAACUCAGGAAGUCACCAAGACUGGCGGCAUGACUUUACACCCAAACCAUCUUGGUGCUUCACGGACAGCCAGAUCCCUCACCUCACUGCCCGAGAUGGCAGCCACAUGAGACAGGCCCUGAAAAUAACAGUGCCGCUUGAGACCUCGAGGAAGAGGGUCCCUUUGAACUUUGGUGACCAACAUCCAUCCAUCUCAGCUCUGUCCUGGAGGUCAGCUGAGAUCAGGGGACUCAGUCCGCCUGCACCCAGGUGAAAUAAACAGCCAUGUUGCUCACACAAAGCCUGUUUGGUGGUCUCUUCACACGGACGCAUGAGACAUCAGUAAUUCUACUUCGAACAUGCUCAAUUUGAAAUGGGCAUUAGACAUCUGAUAUGGUUUGGAUCUGUGUUCCCACCCAAAUCUCCUGUUCAAUUGUAAU